AAUCGAUGAAGAACGUAGCGAAAUGCGAUACUUGGUGUGAAUUGCAGAAUCCCGUGAACCAUCGAGUCUUUGAACGCAAGUUGCGCCCGACGCCUUCUGGCUGAGGGCACGUCUGCCUGGGUGUCACGCAUCGUCGCCU
rnacentral:rRNA from 1 species